AGUGAACGCUGGCGGUAGGCCUAACACAUGCAAGUCGAACGGCAGCACAGUAAGAGCUUGCUCUUACGGGUGGCGAGUGGCGGACGGGUGAGGAAUACAUCGGAAUCUACUUUUUCGUGGGGGAUAACGUAGGGAAACUUACGCUAAUACCGCAUACGACCUACGGGUGAAAGCAGGGGAUCUUCGGACCUUGCGCGAUUGAAUGAGCCGAUGUCGGAUUAGCUAGUUGGCGGGGUAAAGGCCCACCAAGGCGACGAUCCGUAGCUGGUCUGAGAGGAUGAUCGGCCACACGGGAACUGAGACACGGUCCAGACGCCUACGGGAGGCAGCAGUGGGGAAUAUUGGGCAAUGGGCGCAAGCCUGAUCCAGCCAUACCGCGUGGGUGAAGAAGGCCUUCGGGUUGUAAAGCCCUUUUGUUGGGAAAGAAAAGCAGCAGGUUAAUACCCCGCUGUUCUGACGGUACCCAAAGAAUAAGCACCGGCUAACUUCGUG
rnacentral:rRNA from 1 species